rnacentral:snoRNA from 1 species
UGCAGGUGAUGCGAAAUGUUUGCUGAGACGUGGUGAUGCCACUUUAAAGCACCGAGAUCGCUGAUGCG